AUUGAACGCUGGCGGCAGGCCUAACACAUGCAAGUCGAACGAGUGGCGGACGGGUGAGUAAUGUCUGGGCAACUGCCUGAUGGAGGGGGAUCACUACUGGAAACGGUAGCUAAUUCCGCCUACCAUCGGAUGAGCCCAGGUGGGAUUGGUUGGUGUGUGGGGUAAAGGCUCACCAGGGCGACGACCCCUAGCUGGGCGGAGGGGAUGACCAGCAACACUGGAACUGAGAAACGGUCCAGACUCUUACGGGAGGCAGCAGGGGGGAAUAUUGCACAAGGGGGGAAGGCCUGCUGAGGCCAGGCGGCGUGGAUGAAGAAGGCCUCCGGGUGGUAAGGUACUUUCAGCGGGGAGGCGUUACCCGCAGAAGAAGCAACGGCUAACUCCGUGCCAGCCGCCGCGGUAAUUC
rnacentral:rRNA from 1 species